rnacentral:tRNA from 1 species
GGGGGGGUAGCCCAAUGGCAGAGGCAGAGGACUUAAAAUCCUCCCAGUGCGGGUUCGACUCCCGUCCCCCCUACCA